rnacentral:rRNA from 1 species
AACGAACGCUGGCGGCAGGCUUAACACAUGCAAGUCGAACGGGUGUAGCAAUACAUCAGUGGCAGACGGGUGAGUAACACGUGGGAACCUUCCUAGGGGUACGGAACAACUCAGGGAAACUUGAGCUAAUACCGUAUACGUCCGUAAGGAGAAAGAUUUAUCGCCCUUAGACGGGCCCGCGUCGGAUUAGCUAGUUGGUGGGGUAACGGCUCACCAAGGCGACGAUCCGUAGCUGGUUUGAGAGAAUGACCAGCCACACUGGGACUGAGACACGGCCCAGACUCCUACGGGAGGCAGCAGUGGGGAAUAUUGGACAAUGGGCGCAAGCCUGAUCCAGCCAUGCCGCGUGAGUGAAGAAGGCCUCGGUUGUAAGACUCUUCGGUACGGAAAGAAAGUACGCGCAGGUAAAGUAAUACUGCGUGGAGUGACGGUACC